GAUUGGGUUUUAAGGCUUCAAAUUUUUUUUUUUUUUUUUUUUUUUGGGAAUUGGGAUUUUUAUGAUUUCGAAAACCGGAAACUUUGACCCAAAGAUAAGAUUAUUUUUUGGCAGCUAGGAACAGAGAGGGGAAUGCUUGAAAUGGUGUAAUUAGAGAACACUUCAGACAAAAUACAACUAGAGAAGAAGACUCAAGGAAUUAAGGGAAAUGGAUCGAUAACUUGGAAGAAACUAGUUGCAAUGAGAGCAUCAUGAGAAACCAGCUAUAUUUCAAAAAAAAAAAAAAAAGAGAAGAUUCCAGCUAAGUAAAGACAGGUAAGAUCAUAAGAGAGAUAAUCUCGACAGAGACAGGCAGCCCAAAAAGAAAAGAAUAUGCCCAUUUUUCAAGUCUUUCUAUUAAAAUAUCACAUUUUCUUAUUUAUUUAGAAAUUAUGGAAAUCUUUGAUUCUCAUUUGAUACCCAUCCGCACAGGGAAGCUAUGUUGACUAGUUUCUCAGGUUAUUUUUUCACUUAUCUUUUAUCUUUUUAUCUGAAUGACCUCGAACAAAAAAAUUAUAUCUGAAUGACCUAUGUUCUACAUAUUCUUCUGUGUGUCAGUCCUUGACUCCUUGUUUAUAUCUUUCAUUAAACUCUGAUACAAGUUUUGUUUCUGUUUCUUUGUCUCUGGACAAACUCUAAUUAACGAAAUAAACAGAAACGAAACUUGCUAAAUAAUUUGUGACAGAUUAAAUGGCUAAAUAAUUUAUAAACUAGUGUCACAAAUUAAAUGGCUAAGUAAUUUAAAAAUAAAAAUUAACAAAAAACAGAUAUUAAUAUUUUGGGUUUUCUGCAAAAAAAACCCUCAAUGUCGUUUUUUUUGCAAAUUAAUCCGCGAACUCAAAAACUCACGGGUCAACCUUCCAAGUGCCAGUCAAAUCGCAAUAUAACCCUCGGCCAUAUUUAUGUGUAUUUGACUGUGUAUAAUUUUAACAUUUUUUCAAUACUAGGUCGUUUUGGCGCUAAUUUUUUAAUGAAAAAAAUUUGUUGAACCCCACCUUCAUUGUGCAUUUACGCAAGCUCUCAUGUCCGAGAAAAACAAGGUCAUUUCGUUUUAGAAAUCUAUAUAAUUGUGUUUGUUAAGUAAACAAAUAUAUUUGUUGGCCGAGAUGGUUAUAUAGCAUGCACAUGGUAUUUAAGGUUCAAAUUUCAAACCACGAUUUCAACAAUUUUUUUCAUUAAAAAAUUAGCGCCAAAACGAUCUAGUAUUGAAAAAAUGUUAAAAUUAUACACAAUCAAAUACACAUAAAUACGGCCGAGGGUUAUAUUGUGGGUUGACUGGCACUUGAAGGGUUGACCCGUGGGUUUUUGAGUUCGCGGAUUAAUUUGCAAAAAAAAAACCACAAGAAAACCCUAAUAUUUUUUGAUUUUUGAGCUAUCGAAAGAGUCUUUGCCAAUAUAGUUUGUGUUUUUGUUUUCAUGAAUCUGGGUUUCAUUACGGUAAGUUGUAAAUAAAAAAGAGCUAAACCAAUCAAAUCUAACCACAUUCUCACUUCUUACGACGUCAGUCGGAAGUUAGCCAACUACUUUCACUAAACAACCAAAUCAUAACUUGUAAGAGCCCGUAUACAUACUUAUAGAGUUUUCUUUUUUAACUAAGGCUUUCAUUCAACUUAUAAAAGUAAUUACAAAUGGAAAUACUUUUCAUACUCUUUUCUCAUACCAAAUAAGAAUUCUUUUCAGUUUUCAUUGAGUACAAUUUAACCUAAUAUCCAAGAUUGACUACUCAUUCAUGCACCAAAGAACCGUGCGACUGUGAGAAAACCCUUCUUAUAGCAAUGUUUUUAAACCUGAUAGAGAUACUGAACUAAAUUAUUUUUCAGGGUCACCGAUCGAGCAUAAUCAAUAGAUUAAUAAAUGCUAAUAUAUAGUUAUACAUAAAUAUAAUAUUAUUAACUAUUGGAAAUAAGAUACUAUACAACAUUCAUGUUUUAUUUACAAAAUAUAAUUAAGUAUCUACAAUUUUGUUUUUUACUAGCCAUAAAGAUAAAAUAUUUAACUAAUUUUAAUACCAAAUAGACUUUAGCUAAAAAUUGAGAUAGUAAAUAAUUAUUGUAAAAUUAACUUCAAAACCUAAAAUAAAAAAAAUAUAAAUUUGUAAUAAAUUAUCAAUAACAAAAAUAAACUUAAUGAAUCAUAUCAAUAAAUUUUAGUUUUUUCUAUUACCAUUUUCUUCAUUUUUCAAUGGCAUAGUAGAAAUUUAAUCAAUGUGUUUUCUAAAGAAUCGUAAAUAAAAUAGUUUAUUUAAUUUUAUGUAUUAUUAUUAAAAAAUAUAUGAGAUGUUUAAUCAAUAUUUUUUAGAAAUAUCAUCAAUUUUUUAUAAUUUUUUUUUGGUCAACUGAUAUUGGAUCACAAGGUAAUGACAACGGUUUGAAUUUGUAUUAAAUUUAUCAGAUUUUUAAUUAAUAAUGUUUUUUUAAUUCGAACUAUAUUAUAUAUGAAUCACCGUGUUUACUGGUUUGAUUAUGAGUCCAUGUCAGGUAUGAAGUGCACAAAAUGGCAACCGUAGAACCGAACCGAAUAUGGUUUUAUGUUAUAGAUAAUCAUACUAAUUAAAUUAUCUAAUAUAUUAAUUUAGAGUCAUAUUUGUAAUUUUACCGUGGCAUAUUUUAAAUUUGAACGUAUUGAACAUGUUAUGGUAAUAUAAAAUUUCAAAACACACUUCUUAUUCAAUCUUAAAAUAAUGUAUUUUUGUAUCAACUUAAUAAUAUUCUUAAGUGACAUUAACUCAUAUAGGCUCAUAAUGGUAAUAGUGGGUUACAGUGUGGAUCAAGCAAAAAAUAUAAUUGUGGUACGGUUCAAGUAGGGUUUUGUAAAAAACGCAUAUUGCGAUAUACGUGCAGUUAAACUAGAAAAAACAGUACAUAAUUAAAUUUGAAUGGUAACCAGAAUAACAUACAGUAUGAAACAUUAAAUAUUUGAAUUAUAGCAAAAACUAUAAAUGGUACAAAAUACAAAUUAUAGAUAUUUGUUUUUAUAAACUGAAAUAAAUUAUGAUUCAAAUUGUUUUAAAUAAUAAUUUAUCUGUUAAACAUAAUAUAUAUUAUUUAGAUAAAGAACGGAAAAUUUAAAACUUACGCAUAUACAACACAUUCAAUAUUUAUUAUUUUACAUAUUUUAUUUGUCAUAAUUAGUUUUAUUAAUUAAAUGAUUGACAUGUAAAAGAGAAUUCAAAGCUGUAAAAUAUUAGUGGUUGUAUUUAUUUUCUUCUACAUUUUUAAUAGUUAAACAAGAUAAAACAAUUUUAUUUACAAUGAUGUAUCCAACCACAUCAUAUGGGCUCUCUUCACAAUUCUACAUGAGGUCCAAGCCAAAAGCUAUCACGCACUAUUUUUUUUUAAUGUAUGAUUAUUUUAUUUAUAAAAAUUGGUAGCCAAAACAUAGUUGAAUGGUGAUGACAUAUUAUUGUCCUAUAGUGCGUUUUUUUUUUACCCGUUUAAAACAUUUAAGUCCGUAGUCAUUCAAUUCCUUCUUUUAUUAUUUGUAAUAAUUGAAUUUUAAAAUCAGGAAACCUUAAUUUCGAUUUCUAGGUUAUGUAUCGAAAGGAAAAAAGAUGAUAUCUCAAUUCUUGGAUCAGUCUGUACCGUCAAAAGCUCACGCUUCAUGGUUGUGUAUCGAAAGGGAAGAAGAUGAUAUCUCAAUUCUUGGAUCAGACUGGGUUGUGUGGAUAGCAGUCUGUUCUGCCAAAAGCUCACGCUACAUGGUAAAAUCUUGGCUGGAAACAAUGCCAAGAAAAAUCAAAACUUUUCAGAGAUUCUCGAGAAGGUUGAAGGAGAAGGAUACUUAUUUCCAUGGCGAACAAUUUAUAUCAUGUAUGUAAUUAAAACAAACAAAUCAUUUUUUCGAAAUGUUCUACAUGUAAAUACAUGUUUGAUCAUCAAAUAAUCAACCGGUCAACUCUGAUUGACUCGGUUUAGUUUCUGUGAUCUGAACAUGAAAUGCCCUAUAGUAUGAUUUUUCACUGCAAAUUGAAAAUUUGUUUGUGGUUUA